rnacentral:rRNA from 1 species
AUUGAACGCUGGCGGCAUGCCUAACACAUGCAAGUCGAACGGCAACAUGGUCUAGCUUGCUAGACUGAUGGCGAGUGGCGAACGGGUGAGUAAUGCGAAGGAAUAUGCCUUGAAGAGUGGGACAACUUAGGGAAACUUAAGCUAAUACCGCAUAAGCUCUGAGGAGGGAAGCUGGGGACCUUCGGGCCUGGCGCUUCAAGAAUAGCCUGCGUCCGAUUAGCUAGUUGGUAGGGUAAGAGCCUACCAAGGCGACGAUCGGUAGCUGGUCUGAGGGGAUGAUCAGCCACACUGGAACUGAGACACGGUCCAGACUCCUACGGGAGGCAGCAGUGGGGAAUAUUGGACAAUGGGGGGAACCCUGAUCCAGCAAUGCCGCGUGUGUGAAGAAGGCCUUAGGGUUGUAAAGCACUUUCAGUGGGGAGGAGGAUUGACAGGUUAAGAGCUAGUUGAUUGGACGUUACCCACAGAAGAAGCACCGGCUAACUCCGUGCCAGCCGCCGCCGUAA